GCGUCCCGGCCCCAGGGCAUCCGAGCCCUUUCCCACCUCUCAGGACCUUUGCCCGGACGUCCAGGCCUCUUAACCCAGCAGGUGCUCUCCCCGGGCUCGGGGUCUUGGGGAUCCAGGGCCUGUGAUCUGCACAGCUGGUAGCAGUUGGCAUUUCCUUAGCCAGAGGCAAUAUGCAAGAACACACGUCCAACCACUAAUGUAUGCAACCACACAUGGGGGCACACAGCCAUGCACACCUAUCCGUGUGUGCCCAGCAUUUCCAAGAGACACAAAGGGACACUGCAGAGAUGCCCCACCAUGGUAAGUCACCACAGGGGGGAAAAAAACACACACACUCGCUCAAGAACCUGCCUACUCGUGCACACACAGUUACCUGCACAAUCAAGGGCAAACACACACCCAAGGGACUCACAAGGGACCUGCCCAUGGAGUCUCCCUGGCCGUUGGAAGGUGCUUUACAGAGCAGUCAAUUCCUGAGUUAAUGAAUGUGGACACUCCCCCCACACCCCUCUUUAGAGAGGACCUCCUUUGAUAGCCUGUAAGGUGUACAGGAAAAGGACCUAACUGCAAAGGGUAUUUCCUAGGCAGUGGAAAGGGAGAUUCCUGAGCAAGGUCCCAGACUUGGGGCCUACUCUGACCUUGGAGAGACCCUCAGGCUGCCUUGCCCCCACCACCACAUCCCCCACACCCCCUACACCCCCGGCCACCAAGGCCAGUUAGAGGCGGCAGAACAAGAACUGCUGAGUCAGGGCCUCUCUGACCCACCCCCACCCCCACCCCAGCCCACUGCCCCACCCAUCCUCUGCUGUUCCUCUGCCUGCAGGCCCUACACUCACACAUUCACACACCAAAAUGCAGAGGGACAGACAGGCAGGAGCAGUGACCCGGUGACAAGGCUCAAACCCCAGGAGUCUGAGUGGGGAGGGAGGCAAGGGUGAACACCGCUCUCCUGUCCCUACCUUCAGCUUUUCCCAUCAAGGGCAGG
ensembl:processed_transcript Gm14965 predicted gene 14965